rnacentral:rRNA from 1 species
GUGCACGCUGGCGGUAGGCCUAACACAUGCCAGUCGAACGGCAGCACCGUAAGAGCUUGCUCUUACGGGUGGCGAGUGGCGGACGGGUGAGGAAUACAUCGGAAUCUACUUUUUCGUGGGGGAUAACGUAGGGAAACUUACGCUCAUACCGCAUACGACCUACGGGUGAAAGCAGGGGAUCUUCGGACCUUGCGCGAGUGAAUGAGCCGAUGUCGGAUUAGCUAGUUGGCGGGGUAAAGGCCCACCAAGGCGACGAUCCGUAGCUGGUCUGAGAGGAUGAUCAGCCACACUGGAACGGAGACACGGUCCAGACUCCUACGGGAGGCAGCAGUGGGGAAUAUUGGACAAUGGGCGCAAGCCUGAUCCAGCCAUACCGCGUGGGUGAAGAAGGCCUUCGGGUUGUAAAGCCCUUUUGUUGGGAAAGAAAAGCAGCAGGUUAAUACCCCGCUGUUCUGACGGUACCCAAAGAAUAAGCACCGGCUAACUUCGUG